rnacentral:sRNA from 1 species
CGUUCAGAGGUCUUUUAGGAUGCGCUAAAGGGUCGUGAGGGCUCUCUUAAGAUUUUCUUCACAAGAGGUUAUCCAGUCGUGCCCCGCGGCCCAGCCGCUGGCCCCGGGGAUCUGAGUCGUACCCUCUUGUUUUUCUCUGAGUCAGUCUUAAGGUGAAAUGAAGUGUGGCCCAGUGGCUCCUCACUGUCGCUUCUCUAGUUUUCUGCCUCGUUUUAGAAAAUGUAAGUUGAGAAUUUCUAAUUUACAUCGGGAUGUGUUCUAAUGCGCUUGUUUUUAAAAUUGUGGAAAAUUUUUAAAAUUUUAAAAAUCUCACCAGUCAUCCAGCUACCCAGAAGUAACAACAUUUUCAUGCAUUACCUAUUAAUUUUUUUCUCUGCAUAUUUUUUCAUGGUUGAGAUAAUUUAGGGAAAACCAUUUUGUGUCCUGCAUAUAUGGAUGAAUACAAUAUAAUUUUGGUAUUAAUAUCAUAGCAACAAAGAAGGCAUUGAAGACUUUAAAUCUGUUUACAGUGAAUUGAAAAGACAGGAUGAAGUGGACACAGCAGAUGAAGACAAUUCUUUCAAGAAGUUUGGCUGUCAAGGAAAAUAGAGAAUGUGCUAAAGACCAUACAGACAAGAGCAGACAGGCCACCUUUGCAACCACAUGGAGGUUUGUCUGAUAUUGAAGCUAAAGAAGCUAAGCUGGAAGACAGAGAGACCAAGUCCUGAUGACAUUGUUUGAACCCAGAGAUCCAUACAUGCCUGAAAACUAGUUUUACCACU